rnacentral:rRNA from 1 species
UACGGGAGGCAGCAGUGGGGAAUUUUGGACAAUGGGCGCAAGCCUGAUCCAGCAAUGCCGCGUGAGUGAAGAAGGCCUUCGGGUUGUAAAGCUCUUUUGUCAGGGAAGAAACGGGUGAGGCUAAUAUCCUUGCCUAAUGACGGUACCUGAAGAAUAAGCACCGGCUAACUACGUGCCAGCAGCCGCGGUAAUACGUAGGGUGCAAGCGUUAAUCGGAAUUACUGGGCGUAAAGCGUGCGCAGGCGGUUGUGCAAGACAGAUGUGAAAUCCCCGGGCUUAACCUGGGAAUUGCAUUUUGUGACUGCACGGCUAGAGUGUGUCAGAGGGGGUAGAAUUCCACGUGUAGCAGUGAAAUGCGUAGAUAUGUGGAGGAAUACCGAUGGCGAAGGGCAGCCCCUGGGGAUAACACUGACGCUCAUGC